rnacentral:sRNA from 1 species
AAUACAAUUUGGGUCGGGAAUCCGUUAAGCUUAUCAACUUUGAGCAAAAAGACGUAAAAAAGAUAAAAGAGAUAGCUAAGAGGAGAUACGGUUUAAACGUUUCCAAUAACGACAUAAAGGAAAAUGAAAAGUCUAUGUAAAUUAUGUUCAAACAGAUCUUAGGCUUACUGCUAAAACAAAG